CCACUCGACGAGGAUGAUAUGGUUUCCUACAUCCUUGCCGGACUUGAUUUCGACUACAUCUCGUUCGUCUCAUCCAUCUGCGCUGCAAGGACCGAGCACAUCAAGGUAGCUGAACUUUACUCCCAGCUGAUCGGUUUUGAAA
rfam:Triticum aestivum genome assembly, contig: Triticum_aestivum_CS42_TGACv1_scaffold_162561_2DL